CGUAGGGACCAAGCGUUGUUCGGAUUUACCGGGCGUAAAGGGCGCGUAGGCGGCGCGGUAAGUCACUUGUGAAAUCUCUGAGCUUAACUCAGAACGGCCAAGUGAUACUGCAGUGCUAGAGUGUGGAAGGGGCAAUCGGAAUUCUUGGUGUAGCGGUGAAAUGCGUAGAUAUCAAGAGGAACACCUGAGGUGAAGACGGGUUGCUGGGCCAACACUGACGCUGAGGCGCGAAAGCCAGGGGAGCAAACGGGAUUAGAUACCCCGGUAGUCCUGGCCCUAAACGAUGAAUACUUGGUGUCUGGAGUUUUAAUGCUCCGGGUGCCGUCGCUAACGUUUUAGUAUUCGCCUGGGAGUACGCUCGCAAGAGUG
rnacentral:rRNA from 1 species